rnacentral:rRNA from 1 species
GAUGAACGCUAGCGGCAGGCUUAAUACAUGCAAGUCGAGGGGUAACAUGGGUAGCAAUACCUGAUGACGACCGGCAAACGGGUGCGGAACACGUACGCAACCUUCCCAUAACUGGUGAAUAGCCUUUCGAAAGAGAGAUUAAUACACCGUAACAUAACGAGCAGGCAUCUGCUUGUUAUUAUAGGCUUCGGCCGGUUUUGGAUGGGCGUGCGCCUGAUUAGGUAGUUGGCGGGGAACGGCCCACCAACGCCUGCGAUCAGUAACUGUGUGAGAGCACGACCAGUCACACGGGC